GCUUUCCCAGCUCCGGGCCCAGGCUUUCGCUCCGCCGCUUCCGAGGCGACUGCAGCCCGGCUCAGAUGCUCGCGGAACUCCCUCACAAGGUCUUCCCACAGUGGUCUUGUUAGCUCUAUGGAACCAAAUCAACACAAGAAAACCAAGGCUCUGGGUCCAGCCUGCCUGAGUCCUGAGCAGAAGAGGCAGAAAACAGAUGAAUAUGGUGAUUGAUGAAAACACAAAGAGGAAGCCAAGUGGUGGCAAUGGGUGAACAGUGAGAAAACCAGUGGAGACCUGAGAGACGAAAGGAGCUUGUCACUCAUGGGGACACUGUCUGACACCAUGGACAGACAACGGAAGAUCACAGGGCCACCGAAGGUCAGCAAGAGCGCCUCGAAAGAUCACCAACGAAAGUUCAUAGCCCCCAUUGCUGGGUCUCAUCAAAGUGUUUCUUUACCUGGCUAAAGCCACGUGAGGCUUUCCUUUCUCUUCAUCUCCAUUUCCAAGUCCAUCAUUUUCA
ensembl:processed_transcript Gm4675 predicted gene 4675